CAAUAGCGUAUAUUAAAGUUGUUGCAGUUAAAAAGCUCGUAGUUGGAUUUCUGGUAGGAGUGACCGUUCCGAACUUGAUUGUUCGUGUAUUGUGUUUUCUCCAGCCAUCCUUGUGGAGAACUUUUCUUGCAUUAAUUUGUAGGGAUUGGGACCCGCAUCGUUUACUGUGAAAAAAUUAGAGUGUUUAAAGCAGGCAAUCGCUUGAAUACAUUAGCAUGGAAUAAUAAGAUAGGACUUUGGUACUAUUUUGUUGGUUUGCAUACCAAAUUAAUGAUCAACAGGAACAGUUUGAGGAUAUUCGUAUGAACAUGUCAGAGGUGAAAUUCUUGGAUUUUGAUCAGACGAACUACUGCGAAAGCAUUUAGCAAGGAUGUUUUCAUUAA
rnacentral:rRNA from 1 species